rnacentral:rRNA from 1 species
UACGGAGGGAGCUAGCGUUAUUCGGAAUUACUGGGCGUAAAGCGCACGUAGGCGGCUUUGUAAGUUAGAGGUGAAAGCCUGGAGCUCAACUCCAGAAUUGCCUUUAAGACUGCAUCGCUUGAAUCCAGGAGAGGUGAGUGGAAUUCCGAGUGUAGAGGUGAAAUGCGCAGAUAUCAGGAAGAACACCCGUGGCGAAGGCGGCUCUCUGGGACGGUACUGACGCUGAGACGCGAAAGCGUGGGGAGCGAACAGG